AACUCUCAAACUAAGAUGGCUUUGUUGCCUAUCUGUUUGGAUUUGGACUCUGCUGUGUCAAUGCAGCUGGUCUUAAAUGUAUUAGCUGGUCCUUAUGAAGGGAUUUGGUUCUACUCGGCGUGAUAAUUAUCUGACGUUGAGGACAGUUUUAGGACUGGCCAGAGCUAUCUUUGGAUUGCUUCUAAUUGUCUUUGGACACAUCAUUCAAC
rnacentral:misc_RNA from 1 species